AGGACAGGAGUGUUUGACCCUUGGUCGCAACGAGUUGGGCUGAAUUGUUUUCACUUUAAUUGCCUUCUAAAAUAGAAGGCAAUUAAUUUUUUUCUUCACUUCAUCGCUUGUGUGCCUACAAGGAUAUUUUUGCCACGGAGACCUUUUUACUGAAAGGUUCGAAGAUUUUAUUACAGUUGACUUCUGCUUUGACCGUGACCUCUUUAGUAUUAGAUUUCAGGUCAUAAUGACCUGGAUUUACACUAAAAGAUACCAUGAGAUUAUUCUACUGCAGGCAACCUGUCCAAGGUGUCCCCCACCACUCAACCAAUGACCGCUGGAGAUGGACACCAGGCACUCCCCCAACCCUACAACGAUAAGCAGAUGAUUUUACACCAUUACGGUCUGCCAGUGGGAGGGUUUCCGUGGAACAAUUCUUCUGAAAGGAAUCCCCGGGGACGCACUCAUUCAUAUGAUGUGUUUCAACAUAGUGUUUGAGCUGGGAAUUGUCCUGCGACGUGAUGUACUGCAGUCAUAAGAGCAGCUGUUGAGACCCCUCUAUGGGCGAGUACAUACAGUUUCUUUUUUCUUGUAG